CUAGUUUUCCAAAACAUCUUUAAAAUAUUCAAAUCAUGUAAGAUAAAAAAGUGCUUUUAAACACUUCUUCCUUUAUUUCUUUUUCUAAUAAGGGACAAAGCAACCUCUUUUCAAAUAUUCCCAUCAAAACACUAACUAAUUUAGCAUCCUCUUGGCAUGACUAACCCACAUCAACGUCACCGUGAAACCACCAUUAAAACUCCAACCAAGCUACCGAAAAUCACCAGAAACUACCCUUUUCAUCACAAAAUUCCACUGCCCGUGACCUCCAGAGCUCCGCCUAAUUCCUUCAAGCCAAAAGUAGUUCCAAAUACUAAAAUUAUAAAUGCUGCCUAAUUAAUUGGAGAAAGCAUUAAGACAAAGAUGAAGGAUGAGGAAUCGAUCCUAAAUGAGGAGUUUAUAAAAGAGUUGUACCCCACAGAUUGGAAGCGAUCUUUUUUAAUUGCUGGAAGCAUGACUUAUAUGUUACUGAUUUUUGUUGAUUCCUCAUUUCGAUUUGCUCGGAGAUUAAUUUUCCGACGAAAGAAAGGUUGUGCUGGUUUGAAGGAAGGUGGAUUUGAAGGAAGAAGAUGAAGGGGGUGGGGUGGCGUUGGUUUUGGGCGAAAGAAGAAGAUGAUAUUGGUUGGGCGAGAGGGAGAAGGAGCGGGUGGGGUGGCGCUGGUUUUGGGCGGAAGAAGAAGAUGAAGUUGGUUGGGAG
rnacentral:lncRNA from 1 species